CUCAGGCAUGGCACCGAAAUGAGGCACCGAAAUCUGCGUUCUGAUUCGGUUUUAGUACAUACUGGUUACAUGGGUACCGGUGACAUAUUGGGGCCUUCCGCACC